AUGGAGGGGGCCGCGCUCACCUGCCUGGGGGACGGCAACCCCCCCCCCACCUACAACUGGACACGGUGCGGCCCCGUCCCGUGUCCCCAUCCCUGUCCCCGUCCCGUGUCCCCAUCCCUGUCCCAUGUCCCCUUCCCACCGCGUCCCCUGUGCGCUCCGAUGGCCCCGCUGCGUCCCCUCCCCGUGUUCCUGCCGUGUCCUUUCUUUGUUCCUUCCGUUUCCCUUGUCCCUGUCCCCAUGUCCCCUUGUCUGUCCCUGUCCGUGUCCCCCUGUCCUGUCCCCUUGUCCCUAUCCCUGUCAUGUCCCCUUGUCUGUCCCCAUGUCCCCCUGUCCCUGUCAUGUCCCAUUGGUGUCCCCAUGUCCCGUUGCUGUCCCCAUGUCCCUGUCCUUAUCCAUGUCCCCCUUUCCCUGUCAUGUCCCCUUGUCUGUCCCCAUGUCACCUUGCUGUGUCCAUGUCCCUGUGUCCCUGUCCAUGUCCCCCUGUCCUGUCCCCUUGUCCCUAUCCCUGUCAUGUCCCCUUGUCUGUCUCCGUGUUCCCUUGUCCCCCGUCCCUGUCAUGUCCCUUUGGUGUCCCCAUGUCCCGUUGCUGUCCCCGUGUCCCUGUCCUUAUCCAUGUCCCCCUGUCCCUGUCAUGUCCCCUUGUCUGUCCCCCUUUCCCCAUCCCUAUCCAUGUCCCCUUGUCCCUGUCAUGUCCCUUUGUCUGUCCCCGUGUCACCUUGCUUUGUCCAUGUCCCUGUGUCCCUGUCCAUGUCCCCCUGUCAUGUCCCCUUGUCUGUCCCCAUGUCCCCCUGUCCAUGUCCCCCUGUCCCUGUCAUGUCCCCUUGUCUGUCCCCAUGUCCCCCUGCUGAGUCCAUGUCCCCGCGUCCCUGUCCAUGUCCCCCUGUCCUGUCCCCUUGUCCCCUUGUUCCUGUCAUGUCCCACUGGUGUCCCCAUGUCCCCUUAUCUGUGUCCAUGUCCCCUUGUCUGUCCCAGUGUCCCCCUGUCCAUGUCCCCUUGUCCCUGUCCCUGUCAUGUCCCCUUGUCUAUCCCUGUGUCCCCUUGCUGAGUCCAUGUCCCCAUGUCCCCAUCCAUGUCCCUUUGUCUGUGCCAGUGUCCCCCUGUCCAUGUCCCCCUGCCCCUGUCAUGUCCCACUGGUGUCCCCAUGUCUCCCUGCUGAGUCCAUGUCCCCAGGUCCCUGUCCAUGUCCCCCUGUCCUGUCCCCUUGUCCCCCUGUCCCUGUCCAAGUCCCCCUGUCCUGUCCCCAUGUCCCCCUGUCCCUGUCCAAGUCCCAUUGCUGUCCCCAUGUCCCCUUGUCUGUACCAUCAUCCCCCUGUCCAUGUCCCCCUGUCCCUGUCACGUCCCAUUGUCUGUCUCUAUGUCUCCUUGAGUCCAUGUCCCCACGUCCCUGUCCAUGUCCCCCUGUCCUGUCCCCUUGUCCCCCUGUCCCUAUGUCCCCUUGUCUGUCUCCAUGUCCCCUUGUCCCUGUCCAUGUNUGGGCAGUGGGGUCGUGAUGGGAAUGGGGUGGUGGGAUGGUGGGUGAUGGGGUUGUGA
rnacentral:lncRNA from 1 species